GAACGCCCGGGCUUCGGCCUGGUUAUUCAUAACCCUUUGUUGUCCGACUCUGUUGCCUCCGGGGCGACCCUGCCUUCGGGCGGGGGCUCCGGGUGGACACUUCAAACUCUUGCGUAACUUUGCAGUCUGAGUAAACUUAAUUAAUAAAUUAAAACUUUUAACAACGGAUCUCUUGGUUCUGGCAUCGAUGAAGAACGCAGCGAAAUGCGAUAAGUAAUGUGAAUUGCAGAAUUCAGUGAAUCAUCGAAUCUUUGAACGCACAUUGCGCCCCCUGGUAUUCCGGGGGGCAUGCCUGUUCGAGCGUCAUUUCACCACUCAAGCCUCGCUUGGUAUUGGGCAACGCGGUCCGCCGCGUGCCUCAAAUCGUCCGGCUGGGUCUUCUGUCCCCUAAGCGUUGUGGAAACUAUUCGCUAAAGGGUGUUCGGGAGGCUACGCCGUAAAACAACCCCAUUUCUAAGGUUGACCUCGGAUCAGGUAGGGAUACCCGCUGAACUUAAGCAU
rnacentral:rRNA from 1 species